rnacentral:rRNA from 1 species
GGGUUGUGAGGUUAAGCGACUAAGCGUACACGGUGGAUGCCCUGGCAGUCAGAGGCGAUGAAGGACGUGCUAAUCUGCGAUAAGCGUCGGUAAGGUGAUAUGAACCGUUAUAACCGGCGAUUUCCGAAUGGGGAAACCCAGUGUGAUUCGUCACACUAUCAUUACGUGAAUACAUAGCGUAAUGAAGCGAACCGGGGGAACUGAAACAUCUAAGUACCCCGAGGAAAAGAAAUCAACCGAGAUUCCCCCAGUAGCGGCGAGCGAACGGGGAGCAGCCCAGAGUCUGAAUCAGCAUGUGUGGUAGUGGAACGGUCUGGAAAGUCCGGCGAUACAGGGUGAUAGCCCCGUACACAAAAGUGCAUGUGUUGUGAACUCGAAGAGUAGGGCGGGACACGUGGUAUCCUGUCUGAAUAUGGGGGGACCAUCCUCCAAGGCUAAAUACUCCUGACUGACCGAUAGUGAACCAGUACCGUGAGGGAAAGGCGAAAAGAACCCCGGCGAGGGGAGUGAAAAAGAACCUGAAACCGUGUACGUACAAGCAGUGGGAGCCUCUUUAUGGGGUGACUGCGUACCUUUUGUAUAAUGGGUCAGCGACUUAUAUUCUGUAGCAAGGUUAACCGAAUAGGGGAGCCGAAGGGAAACCGAGUCUUAACUGGGCGUUAAGUUGCAGGGUAUAGACCCGAAACCCGGUGAUCUAGCCAUGGGCAGGUUGAAGGUUGGGUAACACUAACUGGAGGACCGAACCGACUAAUGUUGAAAAAUUAGCGGAUGACUUGUGGCUGGGGGUGAAAGGCCAAUCAAACCGGGAGAUAGCUGGUUCUCCCCGAAAGCUAUUUAGGUAGCGCCUCGUGAACUCAUCUUCGGGGGUAGAGCACUGUUUCGGCUAGGGGGUCAUCCCGACUUACCAACCCGAUGCAAACUGCGAAUACCGAAGAAUGUUAUCACGGGAGACACACGGCGGGUGCUAACGUCCGUCGUGAAGAGGGAAACAACCCAGACCGCCAGCUAAGGUCCCAAAGUCAUGGUUAAGUGGGAAACGAUGUGGGAAGGCACAGACAGCCAGGAUGUUGGCUUAGAAGCAGCCAUCAUUUAAAGAAAGCGUAAUAGCUCACUGGUCGAGUCGGCCUGCGCGGAAGAUGUAACGGGGCUAAACCAUGCACCGAAGCUGCGGCAGCGACACUAUGUGUUGUUGGGUAGGGGAGCGUUCUGUAAGCCGUUGAAGGUGUGCUGUGAGGCAUGCUGGAGGUAUCAGAAGUGCGAAUGCUGACAUAAGUAACGAUAAUGCGGGUGAAAAACCCGCACGCCGGAAGACCAAGGGUUCCUGUCCAACGUUAAUCGGGGCAGGGUGAGUCGACCCCUAAGGCGAGGCCGAAAGGCGUAGUCGAUGGGAAACAGGUUAAUAUUCCUGUACUUGGUGUUACUGCGAAGGGGGGACGGAGAAGGCUAUGUUAGCCGGGCGACGGUUGUCCCGGUUUAAGCAUGUAGGCGGAGAUUCCAGGUAAAUCCGGAGUCUUG